AGUAACGACGGUUACAUCGGGAGUGACUGAAUAAACUUACUGGCAUAUAGCUGGUUAAGGUGAUGAGACACAGGUGGUGCUGCUAUCGAAAGAUAGAAUCGACUUACCAGUCGGGUCUCAGGCAGAGAUGUUUUUCUAACUGUAGAAAUGCCCGUCUCUUGUUGGUAUACAGGAAUCCAACCUCCCUCUUU
rnacentral:ncRNA from 1 species